UGCCAGCAGCCGCGGUAACACGGGGGGCGCAAGCGUUAUUCGGAAUUAUUGGGCGUAAAGGGCGCGCAGGCGGUCUUGUCAGUCAGGUGUGAAAGCCCGGGGCUCAACCCCGGAUGGUCACUUGAAACAGCAAGACUUGAGUACUGGAGAGGAAAGCGGAAUUCCUGGUGUAGAGGUGAAAUUCGUAGAUAUCAGGAGGAACACCGAUGGCGAAGGCAGCUUUCUGGACAGAUACUGACGCUGAGGCGCCAAGGCGCCGGUAUCGAACCGGAUCAGAUA
rnacentral:rRNA from 1 species